CUUCAUCAGUACUACUCCAUCGUGUGUCCCUCCAUCAGUACCAGCACAGUGUGUCACUCCAUCAGUUCCACCUCAGUGUGUCACUGCGUUAGUUCUGCCCCAUUUUACCCCUCCCUCAGUACUAUC